CUUACCUAACGGCUGAACCAGCAACUUGGAGGAAUAUACCAAUAACUAAUUGCAUUAAUGCAAGAUCGAUUUGUCGAAUAAAGUUCUGGGUAGAAUUAUGAUAAUGACAUUUUCUACCCAUAUGUCUUGACCAAGUUACGUGCCAGCAGUCGCGGUAAUACGUAGUAGACUAGUGUUAUUCAUCUUUAAUAGGUUUAAAGGGUACCUAGACGGUAAAUCAAGCCCUAGACUGAUUUACUAGAGUUUUAUGUGAGGAGAAAGUACUGGUGGUGUAGAGAUGAAAUUUGUGAUACCAUGGAAACUGGUGGCGAAAGCAUCCUUUUAUGUAAAAACUGACGUUGAAGGACGAAGGCUUUGUGUCGCAAAAAGGAUUAGAUACCCUAGUAGUCCAAGCAGACAAUGAUGAAUGUCAUAGAUUAGAUUAUAUAUUUUGUUCUAUAAAUGAAAGUGUAAGCAUUCCACCUCAAGAGUAAUUUGGCAACAUUGGAACUGAAAUCAUUAGACCGUUUCUGAAACCAGUAGUGAAGUAUGUUGUUUAAUUUGAUGAUCCGCAAAAAACCUUACCACAAUUUGAAUAUUUACAAGCGUUGCACGGCUGUCUUCAGUUAAUGUCGUGAGAUUUUGGUUAGUUCCAUUAAAUUAACGUAAACCCUUACUUUAUUUUCAUAUAAAGUAGUUCACCAUUAGAAUGGAUAUGACAAAGGGUUAAAACAAGUCAUCAUGGCCCUAAAUUGUAA
rnacentral:rRNA from 1 species